rnacentral:rRNA from 1 species
CUUCGGCCCCGUCGAGAUAGCACCCUUGUCCUCCUCGGCGCACUUGUAUCGUUUCCUCGGGCUGGUCCCCAGCCCGAACGGACCCCAACCAAACCCUUUUCGCAGUGCCUGUCUCAGUCUGAUCGUAAACAAAAUCGUUAACAACUUUCAACAAUGGAUCUCUUGGUUCUGGCAUCGAUGAAGAACGCAGCGAAAUGCGAUAAGUAGUGUGAAUUGCAGAAUUCAGUGAAUCAUCGAAUCUUUGAACGCACAUUGCGCCCUUUGGUAUUCCUUAGGGCAUGCUUGUUCGAGCGUCAUUCUCACCCCUCCAAGCCCCGCUUGGCUGUUGGGCGCCUUGUCCCGCCUCCCGCGCGCGGACUCGCCCCAAAUGCACCGGCGGCCGCCCCUAACGAGCCUGAGCGCAGCAGAAACGCGCCUCGAGGCGGCAGGGCGCGGCAGGCCCCCGCGAAACGGAAAAUGACCCCCCUCGAAGGACCUCGAAUCAAGCAGGAGUACCCGCUGAACUUAAGCAUAUCAAUA